UACGAAGGGAGCUAGCGUUGUUCGGAAUCACUGGGCGUAAAGCGCACGUAGGCGGAUGUGUCAGUCAGGGGUGAAAUCCCGGAGCUCAACUUCGGAACUGCCUUUGAUACAGCACGUCUUGAGUCCGAUAGAGGUGGGUGGAAUUCCUAGUGUAGAGGUGAAAUUCGUAGAUAUUAGGAAGAACACCAGUGGCGAAGGCGGCUCACUGGUCCGGUACUGACGCUGAGGUGCGAAAGCGUGGGGAGCAAACAGG
rnacentral:rRNA from 1 species